AUAAGGGGUUUCCGUAGGUGACCUGCGG
rnacentral:rRNA from 1 species